UGAACAAGCUGCACUAGUGACCAUGAGCACCUUUACCAUGAACGGGAAUGAUCAAAACUGUUUUGUGAUCAUCUCAACACCUGAUGACAGGAGAGACACUGAGCUUUCUGCCACAAAUGAGUGGAACAUGCGAGCGAUCUUUGGAAAAGUGUUUCUGCACACUUGUAAACUUCUGUUGGAUCGCAUGAUACAAAUGCUCUUCUAAACCACAGCAGAAUUACCAGUUGCUCAUCCAUCUAUAAAACACUGUUGAGCAGAGACCUACUGACUAGAUGGCAGAGAAACUACCCGCCUUCAAAUCACUGAAAUUUUGACCCUAAAAUCACCAGCAUACGUUCAAGAGGAGGAGCGUAAAAUCUGAACCUGCUACUCAUUGUGCCUCGUCACUGCUGUCAUUCAUCCAGCAUUGUGUCUCUCCUACAUCGGAUCCGAUUUAUAGUCAAUGUAGCACAGGGAUUCUUUGAGCUCCAGGAACAGUGACAUGGCCGAUCCGACACAAGCUGAGAUUGACUGAGUCUGUGCUUCAGCUUCUGGACUCACAUUCAUCACAGAUCAUCAUGAUAUUUAUUCAUCUGUUUUGUGACUCUCCAGCACUGACGAUGAUUAAAAGAGUUUUCAACAUGAAUCUGUCAAAAGUCUAAUUGUAAGAAUGCUUUAAUAAAAAUAAAAUCCUGUGAAUUUCUCAAAGUUAUUGUCUGUUUGAAGCUUCUAACUAAACAUAAUAUGAUAAUGUCUACUAUUACAAAAUCAAGAAAUAAAAGUUUCUCAAGGAUGUUGUUCAGCCAUUAAGGGCAGACAAACUUAUUUAUUUUCAAAACUGAUAUAAAACACAGAAACAAAAACUUAAAAUGUUGUUUGACCCUUAUUUCCCAAAAUUAAAAAUGUAUAAAUGUAUUUUCAAUAUUAAAGUGACAUUUAUUUCAAAGACAGACAAUACAAAUAUACAACUUAUGGAUCCAAAUAUUUCUCAAAAAAUAAGUUUGUUGUGUUUCAAAAUAUAACAAUAUAUAGGUCAAAAUGACGACAAAAAGUGCUGAGACUUUCUGUUGAAUUACACAGAGAACAGCUUUGUCCAUGAAAGGCAUUGGUUACUCCUCAAGUAUUCUUUGAAACCCGUAAUCCUCGGAGAAAGUUCAUUCGGAGCACACAGAGAGGAAACUUAUUGCUUGAAGAAUGGUAGAUCAGUCGGCCUGAACAGUCGUUGAUAAAUUCCCUCAACGUUUUUGUCCGGCCAGUCCAUAAUUAUUCCGGUGUCCAUAAUUAGUCCGGAGCCGUAAAAUUUCGAUGUGGAGAAGGAGAAUCUGAUUUCUGUAGAGAACUGAAGGAAAAUCCCGACAGAAGACGAAGGCAGCAGGCGGGACUCUGGACUCUGACCCGCCUGCUACAGUUGAGCAAAACACCAGCUUUUGAGCACAUGAUACAAAGACUGACGAAUAGAAAGAAAGACUUCCCUAUUCCGGAGACUAUCAUACAGACACUUCGGACAUGUUGAUGUUAAUACAUUAACCUCUUACUGAUCUACCAUUCUCCAAGCACUAAGCUCUCUUUUCCCAGGGCUGUAAAUGGACUUCCUUCGAGGAUCAGUAGGAUCGCACUGACAAACACUGAAAUUCAUUACAACCGGUUGUUGUCUCUUGGCCAUAACCACAACUUUAUAGUCUCCACAGGUCCUUUACUUGCAGGUUUGUUAGAUUUAACGCUCAUACCCAUAUGAGCCCAUACCCAUACUCUACAUUAAUUUUGCUCGGUUGACUGUAGCCGCUAAAGGGGCGGAACAGAGAUAACAAAGCUGCACUAUGCAGGAAUAAAAACCCAGUUCACAAGCACUUGUUAGGAUGUGGGAAACCUUUUCUCCAAUAACUGAACAAGCUGCACUAGUGACCAUGAGCACCUUUACCAUGAACGGGAAUGAUCAAAACUGUGUUGUGAUCAUCUCAACACCUGAUGACAGGAGAGACACUGAGCUUUCUGCCACAAAUGAGUGGAACAUGCGAGCGAUCUUUGGAAAAGUGUUUCUGCACGCUUGUAAACUUCUGCUGGAUCGCAUGAUACAAGCGCUCUUCUAAACUUCACAAUAAAGAGAAUACUGAAAGAGAAGAGCUCAACCACAGUGACAUUGCCGAUCCGACACAAGCUGAGAUUGACUGAGUCUGUGCUUCAGCUUCUGGACUCACAUUCAUCACAGAUCAUCAUGAUAUUUAUUCAUCUGUUUUGUGACUCUCCAGCACUGAUGAUGAUUAAAAGAGUUUUCAACAUGAAUCUGUCAAAAGUCUCAUGUAAGAAUACUUUAAUAAAAAUAAAAUCCUGUGAAUUUCUCAAAGUUAUUGUCUGUUUAAAGCUUCUUACCUGCUUCUAACUAAAUAUUAUAUGAUAAUGUCUACUAUUACAAAACUCGAGAAAUAAAAGUUUCUCAAGGAUGUUGUUCAGCCAUUAAGGGCAGACAAACUUAUUUAUUUUCAGAACUGAUAUAAAACACAGAAACAAAAACUUAAGAUGUAGUUUGACCCUUAUUUCCCAAAAUUAAAAAUGUAUAAAUAUAUUUUCAAUAUUAAAGUGACAUUUAUUUCAAAGACAGACACUACAAAUGUACAAGCUUUUGGAUCCAAAUAUUUCUUAAAAAAUAAGUUUGUUGGGUUUCAAAAUAUAACAAUAUAUAGUUCAAAAUGACGACAAAAAGUGCUGAGACUUUCUGUUGAAUUACACAGAGAACAGCUUUGUCCAUGAAAGGCAUUGGUUACUCCUCAAGUAUUCUUUGAAACCCGUAAUCCUCGGAGAAAGUUCAUUCGGAGCACACAGAGAAGAAACUUAUUGCUUGAAGAAUGGUAGAUCAGUCGGCCUGAACAGUCGUUGAUAAAUUCCGUCAACGUUUUUGUCCGGCCAGUCCAUAAUUAUUCCGGUGUCCAUAAUCAGUCCGGAGCCAUAUUAGUCCGGAGCCGUAAAAUUUCGAUGUGGAGAAGGAGGAUCUGAUUUCUGUAGAGAACUGAAGGAAAAUCCCGACAGAAGACGAAGGCAGCAGGCGGGACUCUGGACUCUGACCCGCCUGCUACAGUUGAGCAAAACACCAGCUUUUGAGCACAUGAUACAAAGACUGACGAAUAGAAAGAAAGACUUCCCUAUUCCGGAGACUAUCAUACAGACACUUCAGACAUGUUGAUGUUAAUAUAUUAACCUCUUACUGAUCUACCAUUCUCCAAGCACUAAGCUGUCUUUUCCCAGGGCUGUAAAUGGACUUCCUUCGAGGAUCAGUAGGAUUGCACUGACAAACACUGAAAUUCAUUACAACCGGUUGUUGUCUCUUGUCCGUAACCACAACUUUAUAGUCUCCACAGGUCCUUUACUUGCAGGUUUGUUAGACUUAACACUCAUACCCAUAUGAGCCCAUACCCAUACUCUCUAUUAAUUUUGCUCGGUUGACUGUAGCCGCUAAAGGGGCGGAACAGAGAUAACAAAGCCGCACUAUGCAGGAAUAAAAACCCAGUUCACAAGCACUUGUUAGGAUGUGGGAAACCUUUUCUCCAAUAACUGAACAAGCUGCACUAGUGACCAUGAGCACCUUUACCAUGAACGGGAAUGAUCAAAACUGUGUUGUGAUCAUCUCAACACCUGAUGACAGGAGAGACACUGAGCUUUCUGCCACAAAUGAGUGGAACAUGCGAGCGAUCUUUGGAAAAGUGUUUCUGCACGCUUGUAAACUUCUGUUGGAUCGCAUGAUACAAAUGCUCUUCUAAACCACAGCAGAAUUACCAGUUGCUCAUCCAUCUAUAAAACACUGUUGAGCAGAGACCUACUGACUAGAUGGCAGAGAAACUACCCGCCUUCAAAUCACUGAAAUUUUGACCCUAAAAUCACCAGCAUACGUUCAAGAGGAGGAGCGUAAAAUCUGAACCUGCUACUCAUUGUGCCUCGUCACUGCUGUCAUUCAUCCAGCAUUGUGUCUCUCCUACAUCGGAUCCGAUUUAUAGUCAAUGUAGCACAGGGAUUCUUUGAGCUCCAGGAACAGUGACAUGGCCGAUCCGACACAAGCUGAGAUUGACUGAGUCUGUGCUUCAGCUUCUGGACUCACAUUCAUCACAGAUCAUCAUGAUAUUUAUUCAUCUGUUUUGUGACUCUCCAGCACUGACGAUGAUUAAAAGAGUUUUCAACAUGAAUCUGUCAAAAGUCUAAUUGUAAGAAUGCUUUAAUAAAAAUAAAAUCCUGUGAAUUUCUCAAAGUUAUUGUCUGUUUGAAGCUUCUAACUAAACAUAAUAUGAUAAUGUCUACUAUUACAAAAUCAAGAAAUAAAAGUUUCUCAAGGAUGUUGUUCAGCCAUUAAGGGCAGACAAACUUAUUUAUUUUCAAAACUGAUAUAAAACACAGAAACAAAAACUUAAAAUGUUGUUUGACCCUUAUUUCCCAAAAUUAAAAAUGUAUAAAUGUAUUUUCAAUAUUAAAGUGACAUUUAUUUCAAAGACAGACAAUACAAAUAUACAACUUAUGGAUCCAAAUAUUUCUCAAAAAAUAAGUUUGUUGUGUUUCAAAAUAUAACAAUAUAUAGGUCAAAAUGACGACAAAAAGUGCUGAGACUUUCUGUUGAAUUACACAGAGAACAGCUUUGUCCAUGAAAGGCAUUGGUUACUCCUCAAGUAUUCUUUGAAACCCGUAAUCCUCGGAGAAAGUUCAUUCGGAGCACACAGAGAGGAAACUUAUUGCUUGAAGAAUGGUAGAUCAGUCGGCCUGAACAGUCGUUGAUAAAUUCCCUCAACGUUUUUGUCCGGCCAGUCCAUAAUUAUUCCGGUGUCCAUAAUUAGUCCGGAGCCGUAAAAUUUCGAUGUGGAGAAGGAGAAUCUGAUUUCUGUAGAGAACUGAAGGAAAAUCCCGACAGAAGACGAAGGCAGCAGGCGGGACUCUGGACUCUGACCCGCCUGCUACAGUUGAGCAAAACACCAGCUUUUGAGCACAUGAUACAAAGACUGACGAAUAGAAAGAAAGACUUCCCUAUUCCGGAGACUAUCAUACAGACACUUCGGACAUGUUGAUGUUAAUACAUUAACCUCUUACUGAUCUACCAUUCUCCAAGCACUAAGCUCUCUUUUCCCAGGGCUGUAAAUGGACUUCCUUCGAGGAUCAGUAGGAUCGCACUGACAAACACUGAAAUUCAUUACAACCGGUUGUUGUCUCUUGUCCAUAACCACAACUUUAUAGUCUCCACAGGUCCUUUACUUGCAGGUUUGUUAGACUUAACGCUCAUACCCAUAUGAGCCCAUACCCAUACUCUACAUUAAUUUUGCUCGGUUGACUGUAGCCGCUAAAGGGGCGGAACAGAGAUAACAAAGCCGCACUAUGCAGGAAUAAAAACCCAGUUCACAAGCACUUGUUAGGAUGUGGGAAACCUUUUCUCCAAUAACUGAACAAGCUGCACUAGUGACCAUGAGCACCUUUACCAUGAACGGGAAUGAUCAAAACUGUGUUGUGAUCAUCUCAACACCUGAUGACAGGAGAGACACUGAGCUUUCUGCCACAAAUGAGUGGAACAUGCGAGCGAUCUUUGGAAAAGUGUUUCUGCACGCUUGUAAACUUCUGCUGGAUCGCAUGAUACAAGCGCUCUUCUAAACUUCACAAUAAAGAGAAUACUGAAAGAGAAGAGCUCAACCACAGUGACAUUGCCGAUCCGACACAAGCUGAGAUUGACUGAGUCUGUGCUUCAGCUUCUGGACUCACAUUCAUCACAGAUCAUCAUGAUAUUUAUUCAUCUGUUUUGUGACUCUCCAGCACUGAUGAUGAUUAAAAGAGUUUUCAACAUGAAUCUGUCAAAAGUCUCAUGUAAGAAUACUUUAAUAAAAAUAAAAUCCUGUGAAUUUCUCAAAGUUAUUGUCUGUUUAAAGCUUCUUACCUGCUUCUAACUAAAUAUUAUAUGAUAAUGUCUACUAUUACAAAACUCGAGAAAUAAAAGUUUCUCAAGGAUGUUGUUCAGCCAUUAAGGGCAGACAAACUUAUUUAUUUUCAGAACUGAUAUAAAACACAGAAACAAAAACUUAAGAUGUAGUUUGACCCUUAUUUCCCAAAAUUAAAAAUGUAUAAAUAUAUUUUCAAUAUUAAAGUGACAUUUAUUUCAAAGACAGACACUACAAAUGUACAAGCUUUUGGAUCCAAAUAUUUCUUAAAAAAUAAGUUUGUUGGGUUUCAAAAUAUAACAAUAUAUAGUUCAAAAUGACGACAAAAAGUGCUGAGACUUUCUGUUGAAUUACACAGAGAACAGCUUUGUCCAUGAAAGGCAUUGGUUACUCCUCAAGUAUUCUUUGAAACCCGUAAUCCUCGGAGAAAGUUCAUUCGGAGCACACAGAGAAGAAACUUAUUGCUUGAAGAAUGGUAGAUCAGUCGGCCUGAACAGUCGUUGAUAAAUUCCGUCAACGUUUUUGUCCGGCCAGUCCAUAAUUAUUCCGGUGUCCAUAAUCAGUCCGGAGCCAUAUUAGUCCGGAGCCGUAAAAUUUCGAUGUGGAGAAGGAGGAUCUGAUUUCUGUAGAGAACUGAAGGAAAAUCCCGACAGAAGACGAAGGCAGCAGGCGGGACUCUGGACUCUGACCCGCCUGCUACAGUUGAGCAAAACACCAGCUUUUGAGCACAUGAUACAAAGAUUGACGAAUAGAAAGAAAGACUUCCCUAUUCCGGAGACUAUCAUACAGACACUUCAGACAUGUUGAUGUUAAUAUAUUAACCUCUUACUGAUCUACCAUUCUCCAAGCACUAAGCUGUCUUUUCCCAGGGCUGUAAAUGGACUUCCUUCGAGGAUCAGUAGGAUUGCACUGACAAACACUGAAAUUCAUUACAACCGGUUGUUGUCUCUUGUCCGUAACCACAACUUUAUAGUCUCCACAGGUCCUUUACUUGCAGGUUUGUUAGACUUAACACUCAUACCCAUAUGAGCCCAUACCCAUACUCUCUAUUAAUUUUGCUCGGUUGACUGUAGCCGCUAAAGGGGCGGAACAGAGAUAACAAAGCCGCACUAUGCAGGAAUAAAAACCCAGUUCACAAGCACUUGUUAGGAUGUGAGAAACCUUUUCUCCAAUAACUGAACAAGCUGCACUAGUGACCAUGAGCACCUUUACCAUGAACGGGAAUGAUCAAAACUGUGUUGUGAUCAUCUCAACACCUGAUGACAGGAGAGACACUGAGCUUUCUGCCACAAAUGAGUGGAACAUGCGAGCGAUCUUUGGAAAAGUGUUUCUGCACGCUUGUAAACUUCUGUUGGAUCGCAUGAUACAAAUGCUCUUCUAAACCACAGCAGAAUUACCAGUUGCUCAUCCAUCUAUAAAACACUGUUGAGCAGAGACCUACUGACUAGAUGGCAGAGAAACUACCCGCCUUCAAAUCACUGAACUUUGACCCUAAAAUCACCAGCAUACGUUCAAGAGGAGGAGCGUAAAAUCUGAACCUGCUACUCAUUGUGCCUCGUCACUGCUGUCAUUCAUCCAGCAUUGUGUCUCUCCUACAUCGGAUCCGAUUUAUAGUCAAUGUAGCACAGGGAUUCUUUGAGCUCCAGGAACAGUGACAUGGCCGAUCCGACACAAGCUGAGAUUGACUGAGUCUGUGCUUCAGCUUCUGGACUCACAUUCAUCACAGAUCAUCAUGAUAUUUAUUCAUCUGUUUUGUGACUCUCCAGCACUGACGAUGAUUAAAAGAGUUUUCAACAUGAAUCUGUCAAAAGUCUAAUUGUAAGAAUGCUUUAAUAAAAAUAAAAUCCUGUGAAUUUCUCAAAGUUAUUGUCUGUUUGAAGCUUCUAACUAAACAUAAUAUGAUAAUGUCUACUAUUACAAAAUCAAGAAAUAAAAGUUUCUCAAGGAUGUUGUUCAGCCAUUAAGGGCAGACAAACUUAUUUACUUUCAAAACUGAUAUUAAAACACAGAAACAAAAACUUAAAAUGUUGUUUAACCCCUAUUUCCCAAAAUUAAAAAUGUAUAAAUGUAUUUUCAAUAUUAAAGUGACAUUUAUUUCAAAGACAGACACUACAAAUGUACAAGCUUUUGGAUCCAAAUAUUUCUUAAAAAAUAAGUUUGUUGGGUUUCAAAAUAUAACAAUAUAUAGUUCAAAAUGACGACAAAAAGUGCUGAGACUUUCUGUUGAAUUACACAGAGAACAGCUUUGUCCAUGAAAUGCAUUGGUUACUCUUCAAGUAUUCUUUGAAACAGUAAUCCUUAGAGAUCAUUCAUUCUGAGCACACAGAGAAGAAACUUAUUGCUUGAAGAAUGGUAGAUCAGUCGGCCUGAACAGUCGUUGAUAAAUUCCGUCAACGUUUUUGUCCGGCCAGUCCAUAAUUAUUCCGGUGUCCAUAAUCAGUCCGGAGCCAUAUUAGCCAGGAGCCGUAAAAUUUCGAUGUGGAGAAGGAGGAUCUGAUUUCUGUAGAGAACUGAAGGAAAAUCCCGACAGAAGACGAAGGCAGCAGGCGGGACUCUGGACUCUGACCCGCCUGCUACAGUUGAGCAAAACACCAGCUUUUGAGCACAUGAUACAAAGAUUGACGAAUAGAAAGAAAGACUUCCCUAUUCCGGAGACUAUCAUACAGACACUUCAGACAUGUUGAUGUUAAUAUAUUAACCUCUUACUGAUCUACCAUUCUCCAAGCACUAAGCUCUCUUUUCCCAGGGCUGUAAAUGGACUUCCUUCGAGGAUCAGUAGGAUUGCACUGACAAACACUGAAAUUCAUUACAACCGGUUGUUGUCUCUUGUCCGUAACCACAACUUUAUAGUCUCCACAGGUCCUUUACUUGCAGGUUUGUUAGACUUAACGCUCAUACCCAUAUGAGCCCAUACCCAUACUCUACAUUAAUUUUGCUCGGUUGACUGUAGCCGCUAAAGGGGCGGAACAGAGAUAACAAAGCUGCACUAUGCAGGAAUAAAAACCCAGUUCACAAGCACUUGUUAGGAUGUGGGAAACCUUUUCUCCAAUAACUGAACAAGCUGCACUAGUGACCAUGAGCACCUUUACCAUGAACGGGAAUGAUCAAAACUGUGUUGUGAUCAUCUCAACACCUGAUGACAGGAGAGACACUGAGCUUUCUGCCACAAAUGAGUGGAACAUGCGAGCGAUCUUUGGAAAAGUGUUUCUGCACGCUUGUAAACUUCUGCUGGAUCGCAUGAUACAAGCGCUCUUCUAAACUUCACAAUAAAGAGAAUACUGAAAGAGAAGAGCUCAACCACAGUGACAUUGCCGAUCCGACACAAGCUGAGAUUGACUGAGUCUGUGCUUCAGCUUCUGGACUCACAUUCAUCACAGAUCAUCAUGAUAUUUAUUCAUCUGUUUUGUGACUCUCCAGCACUGAUGAUGAUUAAAAGAGUUUUCAACAUGAAUCUGUCAAAAGUCUCAUGUAAGAAUACUUUAAUAAAAAUAAAAUCCUGUGAAUUUCUCAAAGUUAUUGUCUGUUUAAAGCUUCUUACCUGCUUCUAACUAAAUAUUAUAUGAUAAUGUCUACUAUUACAAAACUCGAGAAAUAAAAGUUUCUCAAGGAUGUUGUUCAGCCAUUAAGGGCAGACAAACUUAUUUAUUUUCAGAACUGAUAUAAAACACAGAAACAAAAACUUAAGAUGUAGUUUGACCCUUAUUUCCCAAAAUUAAAAAUGUAUAAAUAUAUUUUCAAUAUUAAAGUGACAUUUAUUUCAAAGACAGACACUACAAAUGUACAAGCUUUUGGAUCCAAAUAUUUCUUAAAAAAUAAGUUUGUUGGGUUUCAAAAUAUAACAAUAUAUAGUUCAAAAUGACGACAAAAAGUGCUGAGACUUUCUGUUGAAUUACACAGAGAACAGCUUUGUCCAUGAAAGGCAUUGGUUACUCCUCAAGUAUUCUUUGAAACCCGUAAUCCUCGGAGAAAGUUCAUUCGGAGCACACAGAGAAGAAACUUAUUGCUUGAAGAAUGGUAGAUCAGUCGGCCUGAACAGUCGUUGAUAAAUUCCGUCAACGUUUUUGUCCGGCCAGUCCAUAAUUAUUCCGGUGUCCAUAAUCAGUCCGGAGCCAUAUUAGUCCGGAGCCGUAAAAUUUCGAUGUGGAGAAGGAGGAUCUGAUUUCUGUAGAGAACUGAAGGAAAAUCCCGACAGAAGACGAAGGCAGCAGGCGGGACUCUGGACUCUGACCCGCCUGCUACAGUUGAGCAAAACACCAGCUUUUGAGCACAUGAUACAAAGAUUGACGAAUAGAAAGAAAGACUUCCCUAUUCCGGAGACUAUCAUACAGACACUUCAGACAUGUUGAUGUUAAUAUAUUAACCUCUUACUGAUCUACCAUUCUCCAAGCACUAAGCUGUCUUUUCCCAGGGCUGUAAAUGGACUUCCUUCGAGGAUCAGUAGGAUUGCACUGACAAACACUGAAAUUCAUUACAACCGGUUGUUGUCUCUUGUCCGUAACCACAACUUUAUAGUCUCCACAGGUCCUUUACUUGCAGGUUUGUUAGACUUAACGCUCAUACCCAUAUGAGCCCAUACCCAUACUCUCUAUUAAUUUUGCUCGGUUGACUGUAGCCGCUAAAGGGGCGGAACAGAGAUAACAAAGCCGCACUAUGCAGGAAUAAAAACCCAGUUCACAAGCACUUGUUAGGAUGUGAGAAACCUUUUCUCCAAUAACUGAACAAGCUGCACUAGUGACCAUGAGCACCUUUACCAUGAACGGGAAUGAUCAAAACUGUGUUGUGAUCAUCUCAACACCUGAUGACAGGAGAGACACUGAGCUUUCUGCCACAAAUGAGUGGAACAUGCGAGCGAUCUUUGGAAAAGUGUUUCUGCACGCUUGUAAACUUCUGUUGGAUCGCAUGAUACAAAUGCUCUUCUAAACCACAGCAGAAUUACCAGUUGCUCAUCCAUCUAUAAAACACUGUUGAGCAGAGACCUACUGACUAGAUGGCAGAGAAACUACCCGCCUUCAAAUCACUGAACUUUGACCCUAAAAUCACCAGCAUACGUUCAAGAGGAGGAGCGUAAAAUCUGAACCUGCUACUCAUUGUGCCUCGUCACUGCUGUCAUUCAUCCAGCAUUGUGUCUCUCCUACAUCGGAUCCGAUUUAUAGUCAAUGUAGCACAGGGAUUCUUUGAGCUCCAGGAACAGUGACAUGGCCGAUCCGACACAAGCUGAGAUUGACUGAGUCUGUGCUUCAGCUUCUGGACUCACAUUCAUCACAGAUCAUCAUGAUAUUUAUUCAUCUGUUUUGUGACUCUCCAGCACUGACGAUGAUUAAAAGAGUUUUCAACAUGAAUCUGUCAAAAGUCUAAUUGUAAGAAUGCUUUAAUAAAAAUAAAAUCCUGUGAAUUUCUCAAAGUUAUUGUCUGUUUGAAGCUUCUAACUAAACAUAAUAUGAUAAUGUCUACUAUUACAAAAUCAAGAAAUAAAAGUUUCUCAAGGAUGUUGUUCAGCCAUUAAGGGCAGACAAACUUAUUUACUUUCAAAACUGAUAUUAAAACACAGAAACAAAAACUUAAAAUGUUGUUUAACCCCUAUUUCCCAAAAUUAAAAAUGUAUAAAUGUAUUUUCAAUAUUAAAGUGACAUUUAUUUCAAAGACAGACACUACAAAUGUACAAGCUUUUGGAUCCAAAUAUUUCUUAAAAAAUAAGUUUGUUGGGUUUCAAAAUAUAACAAUAUAUAGUUCAAAAUGACGACAAAAAGUGCUGAGACUUUCUGUUGAAUUACACAGAGAACAGCUUUGUCCAUGAAAUGCAUUGGUUACUCUUCAAGUAUUCUUUGAAACAGUAAUCCUUAGAGAUCAUUCAUUCUGAGCACACAGAGAAGAAACUUAUUGCUUGAAGAAUGGUAGAUCAGUCGGCCUGAACAGUCGUUGAUAAAUUCCGUCAACGUUUUUGUCCGGCCAGUCCAUAAUUAUUCCGGUGUCCAUAAUUAGUCCGGAGCCAUAUUAGUCCGGAGCCGUGAAAUUUCGAUGUGGAGAAGGAGAAUCUGAUUUCUGUAGAGAACUGAAGGAAAAUCCCAACAGAAGACGAAGGCAGCAGGCGGGACUCUGGACUCUGACCCGCCUGCUACAGUUGAGCAAAACACCAGCUUUUGAGCACAUGAUACAAAGACUGACGAAUAGAAAGAAAGACUUCCCUAUUCCGGAGACUAUCAUACAGACACUUCGGACAUGUUGAUGUUAAUAUAUUAACCUCUUACUGAUCUACCAUUCUCCAAGCACUAAGCUCUCUUUUCCCAGGGCUGUAAAUGGACUUCCUUCGAGGAUCAGUAGGAUCGCACUGACAAACACUGAAAUUCAUUACAACCGGUUGUUGUCUCUUGGCCAUAACCACAACUUUAUAGUCUCCACAGGUCCUUUACUUGCAGGUUUGUUAGAUUUAACGCUCAUACCCAUAUGAGCCCAUACCCAUACUCUACAUUAAUUUUGCUCGGUUGACUGUAGCCGCUAAAGGGGCGGAACAGAGAUAACAAAGCUGCACUAUGCAGGAAUAAAAACCCAGUUCACAAGCACUUGUUAGGAUGUGGGAAACCUUUUCUCCAAUAACUGAACAAGCUGCACUAGUGACCAUGAGCACCUUUACCAUGAACGGGAAUGAUCAAAACUGUGUUGUGAUCAUCUCAACACCUGAUGACAGGAGAGACACUGAGCUUUCUGCCACAAAUGAGUGGAACAUGCGAGCGAUCUUUGGAAAAGUGUUUCUGCACGCUUGUAAACUUCUGCUGGAUCGCAUGAUACAAGCGCUCUUCUAAACUUCACAAUAAAGAGAAUACUGAAAGAGAAGAGCUCAACCACAGUGACAUUGCCGAUCCGACACAAGCUGAGAUUGACUGAGUCUGUGCUUCAGCUUCUGGACUCACAUUCAUCACAGAUCAUCAUGAUAUUUAUUCAUCUGUUUUGUGACUCUCCAGCACUGAUGAUGAUUAAAAGAGUUUUCAACAUGAAUCUGUCAAAAGUCUCAUGUAAGAAUACUUUAAUAAAAAUAAAAUCCUGUGAAUUUCUCAAAGUUAUUGUCUGUUUAAAGCUUCUUACCUGCUUCUAACUAAAUAUUAUAUGAUAAUGUCUACUAUUACAAAACUCGAGAAAUAAAAGUUUCUCAAGGAUGUUGUUCAGCCAUUAAGGGCAGACAAACUUAUUUAUUUUCAGAACUGAUAUAAAACACAGAAACAAAAACUUAAGAUGUAGUUUGACCCUUAUUUCCCAAAAUUAAAAAUGUAUAAAUAUAUUUUCAAUAUUAAAGUGACAUUUAUUUCAAAGACAGACACUACAAAUGUACAAGCUUUUGGAUCCAAAUAUUUCUUAAAAAAUAAGUUUGUUGGGUUUCAAAAUAUAACAAUAUAUAGUUCAAAAUGACGACAAAAAGUGCUGAGACUUUCUGUUGAAUUACACAGAGAACAGCUUUGUCCAUGAAAGGCAUUGGUUACUCCUCAAGUAUUCUUUGAAACCCGUAAUCCUCGGAGAAAGUUCAUUCGGAGCACACAGAGAAGAAACUUAUUGCUUGAAGAAUGGUAGAUCAGUCGGCCUGAACAGUCGUUGAUAAAUUCCGUCAACGUUUUUGUCCGGCCAGUCCAUAAUUAUUCCGGUGUCCAUAAUCAGUCCGGAGCCAUAUUAGUCCGGAGCCGUAAAAUUUCGAUGUGGAGAAGGAGGAUCUGAUUUCUGUAGAGAACUGAAGGAAAAUCCCGACAGAAGACGAAGGCAGCAGGCGGGACUCUGGACUCUGACCCGCCUGCUACAGUUGAGCAAAACACCAGCUUUUGAGCACAUGAUACAAAGAUUGACGAAUAGAAAGAAAGACUUCCCUAUUCCGGAGACUAUCAUACAGACACUUCAGACAUGUUGAUGUUAAUAUAUUAACCUCUUACUGAUCUACCAUUCUCCAAGCACUAAGCUGUCUUUUCCCAGGGCUGUAAAUGGACUUCCUUCGAGGAUCAGUAGGAUUGCACUGACAAACACUGAAAUUCAUUACAACCGGUUGUUGUCUCUUGUCCGUAACCACAACUUUAUAGUCUCCACAGGUCCUUUACUUGCAGGUUUGUUAGACUUAACGCUCAUACCCAUAUGAGCCCAUACCCAUACUCUACAUUAAUUUUGCUCGGUUGACUGUAGCCGCUAAAGGGGCGGAACAGAGAUAACAAAGCUGCACUAUGCAGGAAUAAAAACCCAGUUCACAAGCACUUGUUAGGAUGUGGGAAACCUUUUCUCCAAUAACUGAACAAGCUGCACUAGUGACCAUGAGCACCUUUACCAUGAACGGGAAUGAUCAAAACUGUGUUGUGAUCAUCUCAACACCUGAUGACAGGAGAGACACUGAGCUUUCUGCCACAAAUGAGUGGAACAUGCGAGCGAUCUUUGGAAAAGUGUUUCUGCACGCUUGUAAACUUCUGCUGGAUCGCAUGAUACAAGUGCUCUUUUAAACCACAGCAGAAUUACCAGUUGCUCAUCCAUCUAUAAAACACUGUUGAGCAGAGACCUACUGACUAGAUGGCAGAGAAACUACCCGCCUUCAAAUCACUGAAAUUUUGACCCCAAAAUCACCAGCAUACGUUCAAGAGGAGGAGCGUAAAAUCUGAACCUGCUACUCAUUGUGCCUCGUCACUGCUGUCAUUCAUCCAGCAUUGUGUCUCUCCUACAUCGGAUCCGAUUUAUAGUCAAUGUAGCACAGGGAUUCUUUGAGCUCCAGGAACAGUGACAUGGCCGAUCCGACACAAGCUGAGAUUGACUGAGUCUGUGCUUCAGCUUCUGGACUCACAUUCAUCACAGAUCAUCAUGAUAUUUAUUCAUCUGUUUUGUGACUCUCCAGCACUGACGAUGAUUAAAAGAGUUUUCAACAUGAAUCUGUCAAAAGUCUAAUUGUAAGAAUGCUUUAAUAAAAAUAAAAUCCUGUGAAUUUCUCAAAGUUAUUGUCUGUUUGAAGCUUCUUACCUGCUUCUAACUAAAUAUAAUAAGAUAAUGUCUACUAUUACAAAACUCGAGAAAUAAAAGUUUCUCAAGGAUGUUGUUCAGCCAUUAAGGGCAGACAAACUUACUUAUUUUCAAAACUGAUAUAAAACACAGAAACAAAAACUUAAGAUGUAGUUUGACCCUUAUUUCCCAAAAUUAAAAAUGUAUAAAUGUAUUUUCAAUAUUAAAGUGACAUUUAUUUCAAAGACAGACAAUACAAAUGUACAAGCUUUUGGAUCCAAAUAUUUCUCAAAAAUUAAGUUUGUUGGGUUUCAAAAUAUAACAAUAUAUAGUUCAAAUGACGACAAAAAGUGCUGAGACUUUCUGUUGAAUUACACAGAGCACAGUUUUGUCCAUGAAAGGCAUUGGUUACUCCUCAAGUAUUCUUUGAAACAGUAAUCCUUAGAGAUCGUUCAUUCGGAGCACACAGAGAAGAAACUUAUUGCUUGAAGAAUGGUAGAUCAGUCGGCCUGAACAGUCGUUGAUAAAUUCCAUCAACAUUUUUGUCCGGCCAGUCCAUAAUUAUUCCGGUGUCCAUAAUUAGUCCGGAGCCGAAAACUUUCGUCGCAGCGAAGGAGGAUCUGAUUUCUGAAGAAUACUGAAGGAAAAUCCCGACAGAAGACGAAGGCAGCAGGCGGGACUCUGGACUCUGACCCGCCUGCUACAGUUGAGCAAAACACCAGCUUUUGAGCACAUGAUACAAAGAUUGACGAAUAGAAAGAAAGACUUCCCUAUUCCGGAGACUAUCAUACAGACACUUCAGACAUGUUGAUGUUAAUACAUUAACCUCUUACUGAUCUACCAUUCUCCAAGCACUAAGCUCUCUUUUCCCAGGGCUGUAAAUGGAC